CAUCUACAAUCUGUAUACUCGCCCCACUUUUGAUCCUCAGCAGCUGGUAUUUGGAGGCUUACAGCCAAUGGAGAAGCCAAAAAAGGAAAAUCCAGAGAAGGCAGCUGCUCAAGAGCUAUAAUCAGUGUGGAAGAGCAACAAAGACCUAUUCUACAUGGCUUUUCAUAGUUCUGGUGUGUAUCUAUCUGACAAGAACAUCUAGUGGAUUACACACCCAAAAGGACUUAUGCCAGGAAUGCGAUGCUAUUGCAAAACAAUCAAAUGCCAUCUUGAGGCUGCAAUCAUAGAAUCGGCCACAGCAUCUUAGUGAAACAAGAAGUGAUGGUGCUUCUUUGCUUUGCAUUGUUCAGACCACCGCAGGAGAACUUUGUCCUUUCAAGUUGGGUCCUGUGUUUGCUAAAGAUACGGGCCACCUGAAGAAGAUCCAGAGGAAAGCAAUGAAGAGGCAAAGAGGAUUAGAGCUGCGAUUAAGGUUCAAGGAUCUAUCUA